UACGGAGGGAGCUAGCGUUGUUCGGAAUUACUGGGCGUAAAGCGCGCGUAGGCGGCUUUGUAAGUUAGAGGUGAAAGCCCGGGGCUCAACCCCGGAAUUGCCUUUAAGACUGCAUCGCUUGAAUCCGGGAGAGGUGAGUGGAAUUCCGAGUGUAGAGGUGAAAUUCGUAGAUAUCGGGAGGAACACCAGUGGCGAAGGCGGCGAUCUGGGUGGAUACUGACGCUGAGGUGCGAAAGCGUGGGGAGCAAACAGG
rnacentral:rRNA from 1 species